GUUUUCAUUUCAUUAGCACAUAUACUAAAAGUGGAACAAUACAGAAAUGAUUACCUUGACCCCUUCCAAAUAAUGACACAAAUUUAUGAAAGGAUCCAUAUUUUA
ensembl:snRNA Rnu6-383 RNA, U6 small nuclear 383